CCUACGGGAGGCAGCAGUGGGGAAUAUUGGGCAAUGGGCGCAAGCCUGACCCAGCAACGCCGCGUGAAGGAAGAAGGCUUUCGGGUUGUAAACUUCUUUUCUGAGGGACGAAGAAAGUGACGGUACCUCAGGAAUAAGCCACGGCUAACUACGUGCCAGCAGCCGCGGUAAUACGUGGGUGGCAAGCGUUAUCCGGAUUGAUUGGGUGUAAAGGGCGUGUAGGCGGGAAAGCAAGUAAGCUGUGAAGACUCAGGGCUCAACGCUGGGCCUGCAUUUGAAACUGGUGUGCUGGAGUGCUGGAGAGGCGAGCGGAAUUCGGGGUGUAGCGGUGAAAUGCGUAGAUAUACGGAGGAACACCAGUGGCGAAGGCGGAUUGCUGGACAGUAACUGACGCUGAGGCGCGAAAGCGUGGGGAGCAAACAGGAUUAGAUACCCGAGUAGUC
rnacentral:rRNA from 1 species